rnacentral:rRNA from 1 species
UACGUAGGGUGCGAGCGUUAAUCGGAAUUACUGGGCGUAAAGCGUGCGCAGGCGGUUCGUUGUGUCUGAUGUGAAGGCCCCGGGCUCAACCUGGGAAUGGCAUUGGAAACUGGCGAGCUAGAGUGUGGCAGAGGGGGGUGGAAUUCCGCGUGUAGCAGUGAAAUGCGUAGAGAUGCGGAGGAACACCGAUGGCGAAGGCAGCCCCCUGGGCUGACACUGACGCUCAGGCACGAAAGCGUGGGGAGCAAACAGG